rnacentral:lncRNA from 1 species
AUGUCUGGAUUGGCCUGGGAUGAAGGAAUAAGGAGCCUGGAGCAACAGUGUGGCUUUGUUACUUUAAUGGAGGGAAAAUACCAGCCCCUCCACCUCACAGAAGGCCACAAACAUCUAGGGCUCUUCAGCACUGCAUUAUCUCUUUAUCUGCAAUGCAGAAAUCAUACAGGCCCUUCUCAGCAUGAGCUUCUAAGAAGCCCUGGUGAGCUGGAAGUAACGCAGAGCUGGCCUGUACCAGGUGUGAGGAAGGAAACACUCCAGAGACGUGGGGAUGUUUGUGGCCAGUUGAUGGCAUCCAGGGCAGGAAUAAUCACUGCCGGUGGAGCCAGUCAUGAUUCUUUUCUUCAGCAGUGGAACGAAUAGGACUGACAGGAGGGAUUUUGUGUUCCUUUCUACCUCAUUUCAAGCACUGAAAAAAUAUCCAUUCUGAGUACCCUAGACUAUCUUCCCAUUCUGCUGCUGUUGAACAAAAUUUGGUAUUUUACUUAACUUUGAACAGAUCUGUAUGCUCUUAAUUCAGGUCCAAGUUGCCUUCCGGCUCUUCAUAAGAAAGACAGCCAAAUUAGUACUCAAGAAUUGGCUUUGCAAGAAACAGAUCUGGAUUAAAAAUCAUGCUAAAAGCAGUUGUUUCUUGUAACUUCUAAGUAACACUAAAAGAUCUUGUUGAACUCCCAGAUGCACAGAGGCAUUUUAAAUGAUGCAUGUUUCUUUUACUAGCUAACCUUUUCCAAUCUUUCAAGUCAUGUUAUCUUUAGGAAUCAAUAAACUAGCAGUAAAAGAAACUAAAAAAAACA